UACGUAGGGGGCAAGCGUUGUCCGGAAUCAUUGGGCGUAAAGAGCGUGUAGGCGGUUUGGUAAGUCGGCUGUGAAAGUCCAGGGCUCAACCCUGGGAUGCCGGUCGAUACUGCCGGACUAGAGUUCGGAAGAGGCGAGUGGAAUUCCCGGUGUAGCGGUGAAAUGCGCAGAUAUCAGGAGGAACACCUAUGGCGAAGGCGGCUUCCUGGGCCGCGCCUGACGCUGAGACGCGAAAGCGUGGGGAGCGAACGGG
rnacentral:rRNA from 1 species